UGGUGGCUAGUAUAAUUAAAACAUUUGAUUUCGGCUCAAAAGAAUGUGGUUAAACCCCACAGCCGCCCU
rnacentral:tRNA from 1 species